AAAAAAAAAUUAAGAAAAUCAAAUUAAAGUGAAUUAAGUUGGAUCAAUUUUGUAUUAAAGUCACCAGUGGUCACUUAACACAUAAAGGGCAAGCAUGAGAAGGAGACAAAGCAAGGCCAGAGCUGAGACCGGUGGUCGGCAGGAAGAGGAGGGUGGGUCCAAAGACAUGAAUGCCCAAUUGACAGACAAAAAGCAGAUCAACAUUUGAUGACCUUGUCAACCCAGGAUCAGUCCUUUCAGACAAUGAAAAAGCUUUCACAUGUUCUUCUUAAAAUGGUGGAAUCUGUAGAGAAUGCUUGUGGUAUACUCUUGUCCCUGCCACAUGGUGACCAUCGAAAGCAGCCCAAUCAAACAGUCUCGCGCAAUAAAUGAAAUCAUGUGUUUGCCUGCAAGUGGAAGAUGGGAUUCUAGUAGUAAUGAUAGUCUCAUGUUUGCUGGAAAACCAUAUUUCUUUUUACAAAUAUUUACCUGCUAAAGUGAGUCAAUUCCCAGCAUGAUUGCAAAGGUUAAUAGAAAAAUCCCUUAAUUUGGGCAAACAUAAUUUUUUUCUCAAG
rnacentral:misc_RNA from 1 species